GUCCUUUUUAUGUUAUCUUUUUCAUAAUUUCUUAUGGCUCAAUAAUAUUCCAUUACAGUAAUAUACCACAACUUGUUCAGCCAUUUUACAAUUGAUGGACAUCUCUUCGGUUUCCCAUUCUUUGCUACCACAAAGAGCUGUACUAUCUUUGAACAAUGUUCUAUUUGAAAAACAAGAAAUCUUCAUGAAAAUUCAAUACUUUUUUAAUGAAGUCAAGUUACAGAAAAGAAGAUAUCAUCAUUGCUAUUGUUGUUUGAAAGGUAAGCUUUGCACAGAGAGAAGUUAUGGAAUGUUACAGAGAAAGUUUGAUGGACAGGAGUGGCAGUUCGAGGGAAAAGAAAAGAACUCUGGGAAAGAACUGAAAGGGGACUUGGUUUCCUGAACUCUGAGGGAGAGGAAACUCAUAUUCCCUGCCUCAGGAUUUGAAUCCCUGAAUACCUGAGGAUUUUUCCCAACCUUUCCUUGAACCUCGAAGACCUGAGAUUGUACUUGCUUCUCCUGGAUCCAACAAAUAGGGCUAACUGAACAUUUACAGUGGCUUGAUGGGCUGAGCCCUGAAAGCCGGCUGAGGCAGCCUGAAACACAGUUAACCCUCUCUGUAACAGCUGGAAAAGACUUGGAAACCAUUCAUUUAGAUUAGGUUAGCAGACAGAAAGAAGAGAGGAAUCAAGAACUUUGUGGCUGGAACCUUAGUCUUUGGCUAGGCUAAAGAGACUCCAUACUACUAUUACAUUAGAUUAAGGCUACCUGCUCCCAUUCUCCAUCCCGAAACUCUACCCUGUUCAUUAAACCAUUGUUAAUUUAUAUUGAUAUAUAAGUCAGAUAAGUCUUUGGAGUAUAUCAAAGAGAUAGAGGGUGAUAGGGUUCAAAUAGGGAGCCAUUUCUAAGAGACUUUGGUUAAGUCAAACCCAAGGUUGGAUGCCAUUACUGACUCCCUGACAGGAUCUGUAUCAGAAAGGACAUCUAGGAGUGCCAAGCAUUUCGCUAAGCCCUGGCAAACCAUCUAUACUUUACCCCAUAC
ensembl:lncRNA